rnacentral:lncRNA from 1 species
UUAUAAAAGAAGUCCUAAUAAUACACAAAAGAGGGCUCUCCUUCCUCGGAACGGAAGAAAACAAAGAAAAUGUCCUCUACUCCUCCAUUUGAGCCUUCUUUCUCCAUACUCUCCCAAAAUUAAAAUUGACACACACUCACAAACAAACAAAAAAAGAACCCUAUAGCUGAAAGAAGAAAAGCUGCGCAGCAGUGUUAUUAGAAAAAGGAAAAACACAGCUGCUUGAGAAAAAGAAGGAAACAGUUGCUGCUGAUUUUCUUCCUCCAAAGAAAACUCAUGACAGUUAAAUAAUUUAAGCUCAAGUCGCUGCCCUUGCUGCCGAGAAAAUAGAUCUAAAAUCCUCCAUUAAUCCCGUGAAGCUCUGUGCUCGAGGUCGUCUAAGUUCCGUGUCCGUUAGCUUCACAUAUGUUUCUCGGGUUUUGCCUUGGGUUUUGAGAUUUAUAACUGUACUGGUUGGUUUAUUUGGGAUUUCUUCUCAAUAUAUUGGAAAAAUAUUUCAUUGCUCAAGUUCUGAUUCCUUCUUUCUUUCACUAUUUAUUUUUCUAUGAUUCAAAUAUUUUAGAUCCAUGUGAAUGAUGCUUUAUUAUUUCACUUUUCAUGUGUGUUUACUUUUAAGUUCAUAAUAUUAUCCAUCGUAGUGAGUUUUAUGAUA